AAGCACGGGAAAAGAAUUUUAUGUUAAACCAUAGAUCAGUGGCGGGGGCUGCAUUAGCAGGAGACUCAGAGUUUGUCAUGUUCUGCUGAAACUGAGAAGUGUACCGGUAUGUUCAAACAUACAUCCAGGUGAUGUUCUGUGUGGCAUAGCAAUUCAGUAUAGGGGAGUAGAAAUUAUAAACAGUGCUUUUGUUUUAAAGCAGCUGUCUGUGGCGUAGUUUUUUAAUCGGUGUGUGUGUGUGUGUAAGAGACGUGUUAGUACGCCAUUGCAUUGUUUUGCUUGGUAACUUCUGUAACUAUUUUGCACACUUAGUAAGCGGAUACUUUAAAAUAACCAUGGGUGUCUACGGGUUAACGUGUUUGCUGCUGUUGUGCGUGGUAGAGGUUUUUAGCAAACCCACUUAUAAAAAUGAACGGGUUCAUCUCGACCCAGAAUUGAGCAGAGAUCCUCAUGAAGACAACCAAAGCUACCGAUACGACCAUGAGGCCUUCUUGGGAAAAGAAGAGGCCACGACUUUUGAUCAGUUAACUCCAGAAGAAAGCAAGGAAAGACUUGGGAAAAUUGUUGAUAGGAUUGAUGGUGACAAAGAUGGAUAUGUUACUACAGAUGAGCUAAAGAGCUGGAUUAAUAGAGUACAGAAGCGGUACAUUUAUGAAAAUGUAGCUAAAGUUUGGACGGACUAUGAUUUAAACAAAGACAACAAGAUUUCUUGGGAUGAAUACAAAAAAGCCACCUAUGGCUACUACCUUGCUAACCCGGAAGAGUUCCAGGAUGCCACAGACCAGUUCAGUUUCAAAAAGAUGCUCCCCCGUGAUGAAAGGAGAUUCAAAACUGCUGACCUCGAUGGGGACACGGCAGCCAGCCGGGAAGAAUUCACUGCCUUCCUUCACCCAGAGGAGUUUGAUCACAUGAAAGACAUUGUUGUUCUUGAAACCUUGGAAGACAUAGAUAAGAAUGGUGAUGGUCAUGUGGAUGAAGAUGAGUACAUUGCUGACAUGUUUGCUCAUGAAGUAGAAGGACCGGAACCGGACUGGGUGAAAACAGAAAGAGAGCAGUUUGCAGACUUCCGGGACACCAAUAAGGAUGGAAAGAUGGACAAAGAGGAAAUUCGGCAUUGGAUCCUUCCUCAGGACUAUGAUCAUGCACAGGCUGAAGCCAGACAUCUAGUCUAUGAAUCAGACUUGAACAAGCAAUACAGUAUACGCCAUCAGUGUCUGUGCCCUGAAGAUUUUGGACUUUCUGCUACCCUGAUACAGAGCAAAUAGUAACAAGUGCAUGUAUCAAGCUUUUCACUUGUCUGCUGCUCAGCAUGAAUCAACAGAAUAGUACCAAUACUAUAGAAGCUGCUAAGGAUCAACUAUUGACCAAAGAAGAAGUUUUGGAAAACUGGAACAUGUUUGUUGGAAGUCAGGCAACUAAUUAUGGAGAAGACCUCACCAAAAACCAUGAUGAGUUGUGAUCCGAAUUGCUUCGGAAUGUGAAGUCCUUUUCUUGCCAAAAACUUGUAUCAAAAUUUGAAAGAAAUGAAUGAAGCCACUGGUGCUUUUUAAACAAAGCGUUUUGCUUGAACAGUGACUGAAACACCUGGGAGUCGAAUUGAGUGUAGUUUUACCUCACUUUUUCAGGGGAGUGCUGCCAUGUUACCUGUUGGCAUCAGUGACAGGGUUGUGCUUAUCUUGUAUAUAUGUGUCGAGUGCUUCCAAUCGGUAUUGUAGAACUUUGGCUCUGAAUUCUAUUCAAGAUUCUUUUUCAGCUGCUUCUAUUGUGCCUGCAUAAAUACAUGCAGAGAACAAGCAUGUCCUGCAUUGCCAGAGUUUCUCUUGUUGGUCAGGCAUUUUUGCCAUUUGCCAUUCUUUGGUUUCUGGUCUUUUCCCACUUUUGUUUCAUGCAUGUCAGUAUUCAAAAUGACACAACCUAGCUCCGAGGCAUUUCAGUAAUAUGCUGUUUUCUCAAUAGACUGUUACCUUUCAUUACGUGUGCCGAUUAUUGGACAAACUGCGCAUGGGCAGUAGAGGUAUUUACAGAACAAAUAAAGCAGAUGUUUAAUUAGUAUUGUAAUAGCAGUGCCGGUGCCUGUCAAAAUACUGAUGGCUUCUAUUUUAUAAUUAAACAUUUUUAUGUCCAAUAUUUAGUUAUUGCCAACCUAAUUUUCUGCAGUUGGUGUCAGAUUAACGGUUUUACAUACUUCAGCUCAACUUCAUUUAUUAGGAAUGUGUUUUAAUAAUAAUGCUUUGUACAGUAUUUCAGGGUUGCAUGUGUAAAAUAAUUUCGUAGGUUUAUUUAACUGUUUUUUUUUCUCAGUUUUUUUUUUCUUUGACAGUGAAAUGUUAGUGAACAGUUUUUCAUGUGUUACUGCAUCAAGUUUAACUCGUAUAGCUAUUUCAUGAAGAUGUUCUAUAUAGACACUUUUAUAAUGUGUAGAAAACUUUAUCAGAAAACAAAUGUGUUGCACUAUCCAGCAGUGGCUUCAAGUUAGUAUUUAACAUUAUUUGUAGUGUGUGGUGUUUUUUUUGUUUUUUUUCACUCAUUUAAUCCACGACAGGGUUGACAUGCACACAAAAUGUAUUCUGAUUUUUUUCUUAUAAAGUGCUACAUUUUCA